GGUGAACGCUGGCGGCGUGCCUAAGACAUGCAAGUCGAGCGGGCCGCGGGGUUUUACUCCGUGGUCAGCGGCGGACGGGUGAGUAACGCGUGGGUGACCUACCCGGAAGAGGGGGACAACCCGGGGAAACUCGGGCUAAUCCCCCAUGUGGACCCGCCCCUUGGGGUGUGUCCAAAGGGCUUUGCCCGCUUCCGGAUGGGCCCGCGUCCCAUCAGCUAGUUGGUGGGGUAAUGGCCCACCAAGGCGACGACGGGUAGCCGGCCUGGGGGGGUGGCCGGCCAAGGGGGGAAGGGAGACAGGGCCCACACGCCGGGGGGGGGCGGAGGUGAGAAUUCUGCCGAAGGGGGGGAAGGCCGGAGGGGGGGGCGCCGGGGGGGGGAAGAAGCCCUGGGGGGUGAAACCGCGGGAACCGGGGAAAAAACCCCGGAGGGGGGAAGGGGGGGAAGGGGGGAAAGAGCGCGGCCAACCUCGGU
rnacentral:rRNA from 1 species